AGGACAGCACGUGGAAAACGGGACAAAUGUUCUACAAACAUUUAAUGGUACUUCAGCGUUUAACAAUGUACCAGAAUACGACUGUGGACGUGUAGUGCAAACGCUCUUUCACGUCGUUGAAAAACGUCCAAGGCAGGAGUUUCGUGGAGAUAUGGGACAUUUUCAAGUGAUGAUGGCUACACCAGAGACUGUCACAUUUGGAUAUCGAAUUUAAACCCCACUGAAAAUUACGUUAACUACGAGUACCGCUAAGCAGAUCAAAUCAUGCGUAAUAUUAACCUCAUUGAUCAUAGAUCAUUUGUCGUAUAUGUUAUAUUUUGAAAAGUUGUUGAUCUUGAUAUUUGAU